UAAGCGAGCGUCUAGGGUUCCGCCGGCCAUGCCGGGUCUGGUCCAAGAGACGCUACCCGCUCACUGCGGGGAACACGGAGGGAGAAAAGCCCGGGAGGC
rnacentral:sRNA from 1 species